rnacentral:rRNA from 1 species
UGCGAGUCGACGCGAGUGUUCCCUUCGGGGGGCGCUCGAGUGGCGAACGGGUGAGUAACGCGUGGGUAACCUGCCUCUGAGUUGGGGAUAACACCCCUAACGGGGUGCUAAUACCGAAUGACUAGACGGAGCGCAUGCUCUUGUCUUUAAAGGUGGCCUCUGCUCGCAUGCUGCCGCUUGGAGAUGGGCCCGCGUCCUAUUAGCUAGUUGGUGGGGUAAUGGCCUACCAAGGCGAUGAUGGGUAGCCGGCCUGAGAGGGUGAUCGGCCACACUGGAACUGAGACAAGGUCCAGUCCCCUACAGGGGCCAGCAGUCUAGAAAUUUGCACAAUCGACGAAAGUUGGAUGCAGCGACGCCACGUGGAGGAUGAAGCCCUUCGGGGUGUAAACUCCUUUCAGGAGGGAAGAAGGCUGCCGAUCCUAAUACGGUCGGCGGCUUGACGGUACCUCCAGAAGAAGCUCCGGCUAACUACGUGCCAGCAGCCGCGGUAAUACGUAGGGAGCGAGCGUUGUUCGGAUUUACUGGGCGUAAAGAGCAUGUAGGCGGGUAUUCAAGUCGGUUGUGAAAUCCUCUGGCUCAACCAGAGAAUUGCAGCCGAAACUGUAUGCCUUGAGUCCAGCAGAGGGAAUUGGAAUCAGCAGUGUAGCGGUGAAAUGCGUAGAUAUUGCUGAGAACACCAGUGGCGAAGGCGGAUUCCUGGGCUGGUACUGACGCCGAGAUGCGAAAGCGUGGGGAGCAAACAGGAUUAGAGACCCCGGUAGUCCUAGCUGUAAACGAUGUGAACUUGGCGUUGGUGGCUUAAACACCAUCAGUGCCGCAGCUAACGCGAUAAGUUCACCGCCUGGGGACUACGGCCGCAAGGUUAAAACUCAAAGGAAUUGACGGGGGCCCGCACAAGCAGCGGAACCGUGUGGUUUAAUUCGAUGCUACACGAAGAACCUUACCCGGGCUUGACAUGACGAUGAACGAUUGCGAAAGCAUGAAGGCUCCC